GAUGAACGCUGGCGGCGUGCCUAAUACAUGCAAGUCGAGCGAACAGAUGAGGAGCUUGCUCCUCUGACGUUAGCGGCGGACGGGUGAGUAACACGUGGAUAACCUACCUAUAAGACUGGGAUAACUUCGGGAAACCGGAGCUAAUACCGGAUAAUAUAUUGAACCGCAUGGUUCAAUAGUGAAAGACGGUUUUGCUGUCACUUAUAGAUGGAUCCGCGCCGCAUUAGCUAGUUGGUAAGGUAACGGCUUACCAAGGCAACGAUGCGUAGCCGACCUGAGAGGGUGAUCGGCCACACGGGAACUGAGACACAGUCCAGACUCCUACGGGAGGCAGCAGUAGGGAAUCUUCCGCAAUGGGCGAAAGCCUGACGGAGCAACGCCGCGUGAGUGAUGAAGGUCUUCGGAUCGUAAAACUCUGUUAUUAGGGAAGAACAAAUGUGUAAGUAACUAUGCACGUCUUGACGGUACCUAAUCAGAAAGCCACGGCUAACUACGUG
rnacentral:rRNA from 1 species